AGGAUCAACGCUGGCGGCGUGCCUAAUGCAUGCAAGUCGAACGGGGCGCCCUUCGGGGCGCUCACGUGGCGGACGGGUGAGGAACACGUGGCCAAUCUGCCCACCGGCAGGGGGUAGCCCGCGGAAACGCGGGGUAAUUCCGUAUGAUCUUCCCGGCCAAGUGGGGGUGGGGAAGCAAAGGUCCUUCGGGGCCGCCGGUGGAGGAGGCUGCGGCCGAUUAGCUGGUUGGUGGGGUCACGGCCUACCAAGGCGAUGAUCGGUAGCUGGUCUGAGAGGAUGAUCAGCCACACGGGGGACUGAGACACGGCCCCGACU
rnacentral:rRNA from 1 species